UCUUCUUUGUCGUCUCGCUUUGGAAUCCGGUGUCGGUGUUGACGGCGAACCUUUCCUCCCGCUCUUCCUCUCCUCAGCGCCUCCUCGUCGCCGCUGUUGCUUCCCUCUCUGCCGUCUCCAGUCGCCUUCCCUCCUCCUCUUCUUCUCUCUUCGUUGGUCGCUGGCCCCAAACCCAUCACUUCCUCGGACGAAUGGAGGUCCCCUUUUUAUUAAUUUCGUUCUUUC
rnacentral:lncRNA from 1 species